CGGGCUCGUAGCUCAGCCAGGCAGAGCGGUGGGCUCUUAACCCAUUCGCCAAGGGUUCGAAUCCCUUCGAGCCCGU
rnacentral:tRNA from 1 species